UACGUAGGUGGCAAGCGUUGUCCGGAUUUACUGGGCGUAAAGAGCGCGCAGGCGGUCGUUCAAGUCGCGUGUGAAAGCCCCCGGCUCAACUGGGGAGGGUCACGCGAUACUGAUCGACUCGAAGGCAGGAGAGGGAAGUGGAAUUCCCGGUGUAGUGGUGAAAUGCGCAGAUACCGGGAGGAACACCGGUGGCGAAGGCGGUUCUCUGGGCCUGUACUGACGCUGAGGAGCGAAAGCGUGGGGAGCGAACAGG
rnacentral:rRNA from 1 species